GACGAACGCUGGCGGUGCGCCUAACACAUGCAAGUCGAACGGUGAAGCGGGCUUCGGCCCGUGGAUCAGUGGCGAACGGGUGCGUAACACGUGGGCAACCUGCCCCUCACUCUGGGAUAACUCCGGGAAACCGGGGCUAAUACCGGAUACUCCGACCGAACCGCAUGGCUCGGCCGGGAAAGGUCCGCCGGUGAGGGAUGGGCCCGCGGCCUAUCAGCUUGUUGGGGGGGUAACGGCCUACCAAGGCGACGACGGGUAGCUGGUCUGAGAGGACGACCAGCCACACUGGGACUGAGAUACGGCCCAGACUCCUACGGGAGGCAGCAGUGGGGAAUCUUGCGCAAUGGGCGAAAGCCUGACGCAGCGACACCGCGUGAGGGACGAAGGCCCUCGGGUUGUAAACCUCUUUCGGCAGGGACGAAGCGAUCGUGACGGUACCUGCAGAAGAAGCUCCGGCUAACUACGUGCCAGCCGCCGCCGUAAGAC
rnacentral:rRNA from 1 species